AUGCAUUGGGUGCUAACACCUUCCCUUUGUAUAAUCAACUCCCGAACUUUAGAUCUCUCUAUUGUACUUGCUUUUACUUCUUGCAUUGCAUAUUUACUUAUGGGUUUUAUUUCACUCAUUUCCCCUUCCCUUGGAAAUAAUAAAGCAUGGUGGCGACUCUUGAUUAUUUGCGAGUCAAGUUAA